CAGUCGCCGCGGGAAUACGUAGGUGGCAAGCGUUGUCCGGAAUUAUUGGGCGUAAAGGGCUCGCAGGCGGUUUCUUAAGUCUGAUGUGAAAGUCCCCGGCUCAACCGGGGAGAGUCAUAGGAAACUGGGAAACUUGAGUGCAGAAGAGGAGAGUGGAAUUCCACGUGUAGCGGUGAAAUGCGUAGAGAUGUGGAGGAACACCAGUGGCGAAGGCGACUCUCUGGUCUGUAACUGACGCUGAGGAGCGAAAGCGUGGGGAGCGAACAGGAUUAGAGACCCCGGUAGUCCCUGUCUCUUAUAA
rnacentral:rRNA from 1 species